rnacentral:lncRNA from 1 species
UUCGUGGUGUCGGGCCCUGCAGCUGUUGCUGGGCCAAGUGGCCUUACACAGCCACCGGCUACCCCCCAGGUGCUGCGGCCUACCACCCAGGUGCCGCAGCCAACCCCGCAGGUGCCGCAGCCUACCCCCCAGGUGCCGCAGCCUACCCCUCGAGAGCCACGGGCACCCCGUAGACAGCCCAGGC